ACACGGAGACAAUAGGUCAUACAUUGAGAGCAAAACUUCAUAAGGUACAACUGGUAAAUAAUACAUCCUGUCAAAACAAAAGUGUAAACUGAUAUCCUCUUCUUCAUUUUAUAAGGACGGAUAACCUUAUUAUAAAGAAUAGCAGUGAAGGAGAAAUAUGUAGGUAAGACUAUUGACUACCUCCCUUGCAUCUCUGUAAUGGAUUCUAUAUAGAGUUAAAAUCAUCUUGCAUUUUAUGCCAAAAAGCUUACAACAAUAUGGAAUCUACUAGGUCCAUCAGAGUCAAUAUCAUAUUAUACAUUUGUCUUGCAUGAGGGGUGCAAGAUAGACCAAGUGCUUUUUCUCUACUCGUGAAGGUUCACAUCUAGCUAUCAAGGAUAAGGAAGCAAAGUCCAGGUAAUACACCAGGGACCUGUUAUCCAGAUCUUCCUAAAUUGCAUAGACAAAAAUACCAAGUAUUUUCACUGGAUGCUACAGCACACAAAAGAUUCAACACCAUUGACAAGCUGAUGGUGAAGGGGUUACAUUAACAGAUUCAGAAGAAAUUAAAGGAACCAUAAUCAAUUACUAUCAAAAUCUUUACAUAAAAACGGAACAAUGGAGGCCAGAAUUUAAUGUACAGGGAGCGGAAAACAUUACACAAGAGGAAAAUGUAUGGCUGCAGAGGCAAUUUGAGGAAGAUGAAGUUUUCAAUCGCAUAAAAUCAUGUUCUAGUGAUAAGGCCCCCAGACCAGAUGGCUCUCCGAUGAGUUUUUUCCAAAACUUUUGGGAGAUACUGAAGACAGACUUCAUGAAUGCAGUGAGACAAUUCCAUGAAAAUAGGGAAGAGUCUCAACGCCACCUAUGUGGCUCUAAUCCCAAAGAAGACAGGAGCUAUGGAACUUAGGGAUUUCAGACCCAUCAGUCUCAUUAGUGGUGUGUACAAGGUCUAUGGUAAGCUGUUGGCGGAGAGAUUAAAGAAAGUGAUAAGCAAAUUAGAGAACAAUCACCAAAUGGCCGUUAUUCAAGGAAGACAAAUUAUGGAUGCCGCGUUAAUAGCAAGUGAGUGGGUAGACUCAAGGAUUAAAGGAGAGAUCCCAGGAAUCAUGUGCAAGCUUGAUAUAGAAAAGGCAUAUGAUCAUGUCAAUUCGGAGUUUCUACUCAAUAUUCUAAGGCAGAAGAGGUUUGGAGACAAAUGGCUUAAAUGGAUAGGUUUUUGCAUCAAAACUGUCAGGUUCUCCAUACUUGUUAAUGGAGAACCUGCUGGUUGGAGAUCCUCUCUUCCCUUUCCUAAUUAUUUUAGCUAAGGAGGGUCUCAACAGUAUGAUUAGAGUGGUCAAUCAGAACGACUGGAUAAAGGGUUUCAACAUUGGUAAUCAGUCAGGGGUCAAUCUGCAUAUAAGUCACCUUUUAUAUGCAGAUGACACACUAAUAUUUUGUGAUGCAAAGACAGAACAAGUUAGUAACAUUAGAGUUGUUUUGGUGAUUUUUGAGGCCAUCUCUGGACUGGCUGUGAACUGGGGGGAAAAGCAGCAUCUUCCAAGUCAAGUGGCAAAUAUUCAGAUGUUGGCAAGCAUCUUGCAAUGCAAGAUAGAGCACUUACCAACUACUUACCUGGGAAUGCAGAAUGCCUGUGGGGAAUAAUCACAAGGAGCUGGAGAUUUGGGAUGGAAUCAUUGAGAAGACAGAGAAGAGGUUGGUUAAUAGGAAGGCAAACUAUCUAAUCUCUGGGAGGAAGAGUCACUCUGAUCAAUUCGGUCCUGGAUGUUUUGCCUACAUAUGUUAUGUCACUUUUCCCUUUACCAGCAAAGGUAGAAGAGAGGUUGAAUAAAUUAAGGCGUGAUUUUCUAUGGUUGGGGAACAAAGGGGGGAAAAAAUACACUGAAUUAAAUGGCAGACAACCUUAGUAAGCAAGAAAACAGGGGGUCGUCGCAUAUAAAAUCUGAAGGUCCAGAACAAAAGUCUACUUUCUAAAUGGCUUUGGAGAUUCGUGUUGAAGAUCAGGCAUUAUGGAGGAGCAAUUCUCAACAAGUAUGGGCAGACUGGGGAGUGGGUGUCUAAUGUAGUAGAUAGCACGUAAAAAGUAUCAGUUUGGAGAUCAAUCAGAAAUUUAUGGGAUAGUCUAAAGGUGAAUUUGGUGGUCAAGGUGGGAGAGGAUAACAAAAUAUUUUUUUGGAAGGACAAGUGGAUUGGACAAGAGUGUCUAAUAAACUCAGUCUUCCCCGAUCUCGUUUCUUUUUGUACAAUUGCUGAAAUUUGGUCCCCUCAAGGAUGGAACCUCACCUUCAGGAGAAAUCUAAAUGAUUGGGAAGUGGAUAGAAUUGCUGAACUGCUACUCAAAUUGGGUGAAUUCACGGGCCUUACUACAGAAGCAGAUGGUAUAAGAUGGAAACAUGACUCUGAUGGCAAGUUCUCUGUGUGUACACUGUAUAAGAGAGAGGUCAUGACUCACUCUGGAGGAGUUCAUGGUCCAUGGAAACAAAUACGGAAGGGCAACAACCCAACCAAGGUGAAAUGCUUCACCUGGUUGGUCACCAGAAGGGCAUGUCUCACUCCGGAAAA